ensembl:snoRNA Gm25336 predicted gene, 25336
GUGGCUGCUACAUCAGUAUGUCAGUAGCUGGCGGAGAGGAGAGGGGCCAUGUCUAUGCUUAGUGUUCUGAGCAAUGAAUAUAUGAAUGAUUAGCAGCCUAACAUU